AGAGUUUGAUCCUGGCUCAGAUUGAACGCUGGCGGCAGGCCUAACACAUGCAAGUCGAGCGGUAGAGAGAAGCUUGCUUCUCUUGAGAGCGGCGGACGGGUGAGUAAUGCCUAGGAAUCUGCCUGGUAGUGGGGGAUAACGUUCGGAAACGGACGCUAAUACCGCAUACGUCCUACGGGAGAAAGCAGGGGACCUUCGGGCCUUGCGCUAUCAGAUGAGCCUAGGUCGGAUUAGCUAGUUGGUGAGGUAAUGGCUCACCAAGGCGACGAUCCGUAACUGGUCUGAGAGGAUGAUCAGUCACACUGGAACUGAGACACGGUCCAGACUCCUACGGGAGGCAGCAGUGGGGAAUAUUGGACAAUGGGCGAAAGCCUGAUCCAGCCAUGCCGCGUGUGUGAAGAAGGUCUUCGGAUUGUAAAGCACUUUAAGUUGGGAGGAAGGGCAGUAAAUUAAUACUUUGCUGUUUUGACGUUACCGACAGAAUAAGCACCGGCUAACUCUGUGCCAGCAGCCGCGGUAAUAC
rnacentral:rRNA from 1 species